UGUUAGCACAUGCGCAGUGUUGAUGGGUGGGAAGUGUAAAGUGUUUCCGGUUUUUCCUCUGUGGAGCAGUUGAUUAAAAGUUGUGAACCGGAAUAGAUGUCGUGUUUAUUCACCUGUAUUUAACAUUGGUAGCAGAGGAUGGUUGAGGAUGGCUGCAAACUAUAAAAUACCGCCAAGGUUUGACGAGUCCACGCCUUACGAGUGCUGGAAAAAUGAAGUUAACGUUUGGAUGCUGGUUACAGAACUCAAUAAGAAGAAGCAAGCACUGGCUGUGGCUUUGGGACUUGAAGGUAAAGUCACAGAAAUCGCAAUGGAGAUAUCUGCGGAGGAGUUGGACAAUGACAACAGUAUGACGGCAUUAUUUGCAAAACUGGAUGACGUUUUCCUGAAGAAGGAAAAGGAUCGCGCAUACGAAGCGUACACCUACUUCGACUGCAUCACCAAAAAUAGUUCCGUUUCAAUGGUGGACUAUAUUAUUGACUUUGAACAGCGCUACAACCGGAUGAAAAUGUAGAACAUGACACUCCCUGAUGCGGUGUUAGCCUUCAAACUUCUUGACACAGCCUGCCUCGAUGAGAAAGACAUGCAGCUAGCACUGACAGCUAACACGGAGCUAAGCUUCUCGUCAAUGAAGUCAGCUCUCAAAUGGAUAUUCGGAGGUAAAACAACGGGCACGUCAAGCGAGAUACAACUAACCCAGGACACAGCUUUCCUCGCAGAACAGCCACAAUGGAGAGGAAGAUGAAACACACCGCUUCAACGUGGACAACAAAGAUCGGUGACGCCGUUACCGGGUACAAACCCACUGGAUAAGUACGAUUCGUGUUACAAAGCAUCCAAUCCAAACAAUUUGAAGACUGUUCAUACCAUUUCAAGAGAACACAAUCAGCGAUUGUGCAACUCCACCAAGAACUGUCGAAGGAAAAAAGAAUGGAAGGAACAAAAGUUUUUUGCCUGUUUCUUAUGCCGUUACUCUGUGACACCCAAGCAAACCUUUCACUUCCUGCCUUUGAGUCAAACCAAACUACCAAUGAUCCAAAAAACUCUUUUGAUAUGGUCAUCAACGGCACGCGAUCAGACUGCUUGGUUGAUGCGGAGACAGGUCUGAUUGCUGUAGGAACUGCAGGUGGUCUGAUUGUGUGCCUACUGGUAGCCACUGUGGUAUUGGCAUGCCAAGUCUACCACAUUAGGCGCCAGGUUUAUGCUCCAAGAACCUCCAACAUGUACUUGGUGAGUGGUACAGACUACUGGGACAAUAAUCCACCUGAUAUUGGAGGACUGGUCGGGCCUUGUGAAACCAGUUUAAUGAUGGAAGAGGUGAGGGCAGAGGAAGAGAAUCGGGCUAAAAAACUCAAGCAAUGUGAAGGGGCUCGAGCAGAAAUUGAUCAUAGGGCUUUUGCUAUGGCUUUAGAUCCUGAAGAUAAGAAAAGUCACCUGCUGAGCUCAAAUUCCAAAAACUAUUGUUUAGAAAAUCCAAAGGAUCUUGAGGAUAAGCCUCUGGUUGUGUGACAGUCAUGAUAGUUUGGUAAACUCCAGCAAAAACAUUGAAGAUGAUGACAGCAAUGAUUCAGUUCAGCAGCAAUUUAACAGUGUUUAGUUUACCUGGGGAUAAAAGAAAAAGGUGCCUUAACUAGUGGCCCCCAACUUUUUGGGCCAACAAACCUGCUCAACUUUCCACAAUUUUUGGGUAGACCAGUGGAUUAGGCUGGCGGUCUUUAUAACAAUCUAAUAUAGUGAUUUAGGGCAUUAUUGCUACUGUGACUUACCAAUGUAUAAAACCAAUAAAGGCAUCCAGUAACAUCAAAUUAAAAUGGAUACUGACUGGACUGGGGCUGUAUAUUCUUUUCUUCUUGGACUGACGUAUGUAUUGUGUGUUUGUAUAGAUGGACGAUGCAAGCUCCAAUCGGCAUCGUCCAGCGUGUACGGUAAUAUGUUACUUCUAAAGUGAAUUUGUUCAGCAGUCUCACACACACCAACUCCAACUCAUUUGAGAGCAGAGAGGGCACCAACAAGAUAAAGUUUUAAAAAUAGUGACGUUUUAGCAAGUAAAACAUGAGCAAUGUCAAAAAAUCUA